CUGUUCUGGCAGCACAUAUGCUAAAACUGGAACAAUAAAUAGAAGAUUUAUAUGGUUCCUGCUUAAGGAUGACAUACAAAUUUGUGAAGCGUUCCAUAUGUGU